GUAGGUGGCAAGCGUUGUCCGGAAUUAUUGGGCGUAAAGCGCGCGCAGGUGGUUCUUUAAGUCUGAUGUGAAAGCCCCCGGCUCUACCGGGGAGGGUCAUUGGAAACUGGGGAACUUGAGUGCAGGAGAGGAAAGUGGAAUUCCACGUGUAGCGGUGAAAUGCGUAGAUAUGUGGAGGAACACCAGUGGCGAAGGCGACUUUCUGGCCUGUAACUGACACUGAGGCGCGAAAGCGUGGGGAGCAAACAGGGAUUAGAUACCCUGGUAGUCCACGCCGUAAACGAUGAGUGCUAAGUGUUGGGGGGGUUUCCCGCCCCUCAGUGCUGCAGCUAACGCAUUAAGCACUCCGCCUGGGGAUACGGUCGCAAGACUG
rnacentral:rRNA from 1 species